GGAUCAUUACAAGACAUCGUGUCCCAAAACCCAUGUGAACAUACCUGUUGCCUCGGCGGAGCUACCCGGUAGCUACCCGGUAGCGCCGCCAGAGGACCAUUAAACUCUUGUUAUUUUUGGAAAUCUGAGCGUCUUAUUUAAUAAGUUAAAACUUUCAACAACGGAUCUCUUGGUUCUGGCAUCGAUGAAGAACGCAGCGAAAUGCGAUAAGUAAUGUGAAUUGCAGAAUUCAGUGAAUCAUCGAAUCUUUGAACGCACAUUGCGCCCAGUGGUAUUCCACUGGGCAUGCCUGUUCGAGCGUUAUUAAGUCCCAAUUAAGCCCUGCUUAGUGUUGGAAAUCUGCGAAUUUAACUAUUCCAACUGCAAGAUGUUUAGUCUUGCCGGGGUAGUUAAUAGCAGUUUCUUAAAUAUAGUUGGCGGAUCUAUGGUAUCCUCUCAGCGUAGUAGCUUCCGUUCUCGCUAUUGUAGGCGCCUAAGACCCUGCCGUAAAACCCCUAAAUUUUAAAGGAUUAACCUCGAAUCAGGUAGGAAUACCCGCUGAACUUAAGCAUAUCAAUAAGCGGAGGAAAAGAAACCAACAGGGAUUGCCCUAGUAACGGCGAGUGAAGCGGCAACAGCUCAAAUUUGAAAUCUGGCCUUCGGGUCCGAGUUGUAAUUUGCAGAGGAUGUUUUUGGCGCGGUGCCUUCCGAGUUCCCUGGAACGGGACGCCUUAGAGGGUGAGAGCCCCGUACGGUUGGACGCUAAGCCUCUGUAAAACUCCUUCGACGAGUCGAGUAGUUUGGGAAUGCUGCUCAAAAUGGGAGGUAAAUUCCUUCUAAAGCUAAAUACCGGCCAGAGACCGAUAGCGCACAAGUAGAGUGAUCGAAAGAUGAAAAGCACUUUGAAAAGAGGGUUAAAUAGCACGUGAAAUUGUUGAAAGGGAAGCGUUUAUGACCAGACUUUUUCCUGGCGAAUCAUCCGGUGUUUUCACCGGUGCACUUCGCCUGGUUUAGGCCAGCAUCGGUUUCGGUAGGGGGAUAAAAGCUUCGGGAAUGUGGCUCCCUCGGGAGUGUUAUAGCCCGUUGCACAAUACCCUUAUGGGGACCGA
rnacentral:rRNA from 1 species